rnacentral:sRNA from 1 species
CUUUUCCUCAGACUCUCCUUUCAGGGAGUGUGCGGGUCCCUGCUCUGGUUUGAGAGGGAACCAACUACUCCUGUGGUCUGUGCGGCACCUCCUGUCUUGGGGCCCAUACCCCUAGAGUGCCCUGGGCAUGGGGACCCGCACCCACUUUGAACCUGGUAUUUCUGGCCAGGUCCGUGGGCCACAUCCACAGGCGAGUCACUGACCACCUGGGUGUCGUCUACUAUGUGGGAGACACUUUCUCCGAGGAGUACACAGGCUCCAGCCUCAAAACAGUCGAGCGGAAUGUGGAAGAUGAUUAUAUCGCCAACCUCCGGAACAACUGCUGGAAGGAGAAGCAGCAGAAGGAAGGCUUGCUGUACCGGGCACGCUACUUUGGCGACACAGAUAUGUACCACAAAGCACAGAAGAUGGGCACCCCCAGCUGCAGCCGACUGUCAGAGGUGCAGGCCUCCCUGCAUGGAUAGUCCUGGGCCAGCCACACCACCGAGGUCCAAGUAUGAGCCAGGGCUGCCUCCACCCUGCACCUCCUGGCAGCUUUGGCCCUGGUCAUGAGCAGAGGAGGGAGGGGGAGAAAGGGAGGAAGCCUGGUGAUUGUGGCAAAGACUCCUGUCCCCAGCCUGACCUCCAGCCUCCAGAGACCGAGCAGCUGUGGGGCCUGCUGGGAAACCAAGGUCGGUUUCCGCCCUCUAGCGAUGCUGUCCUCCCCACUCCUCCGCU